UUGCAAUGGGCUUCUGGUUGGUAAUUGUGUUAUUCAGUGGGCUUUUGAUUUUUUCUUCAGACUGGCCCAGACUUUUUAAGGUUUCUUUCAAGUUGACUUUGGAGAUCAGAGUUACCAUACCCCUUCGGAUAUCACCAAAUCCGAUCAACGUCUGUGUAACGCCAUCGGUUUUCGUUAGUAUGCUACAUCAAUCCAAGCAUUAACGUCGUUGCCACCUCUCCUCCCCCCUCUUUCACAUUUAAUCAGCCCAAGCAUCAUCGAAAGUGACCGAUUCAAGUUCCGCCUAUAAGGCUAUAAAUAUGUUUCUUCACUGCGAUGAACAGCUUCACCGCUCCGAAAUCUUUAAAAACAAUCUCCGUCAAGCAUCAAUUCCAACUAUGGAGUGGAUCUUGUCCUCUGGAUUUUAGAAAAAGUUUGUGUCAGACAAAGAGAUUAUCUGCACGUUUGACUCUGAAUCUACAAGACUUUCAGAAAGUAGUGUAACAACUCUUAAGUGAAUUCUUAUCAGUAUAUUUGAUCGAUAUGGUCAAUUGUAUACCAGAAGAUAAGGACAAGCCUUUUUCCACUACAUGCAAUAUGUGUCUACUAUUUAGUACCUUACUUUUUUAUGUUUGAAGUUUGAACCGAACUCCAAACUCACAGAAGAGGUUAUGGAAAGACUCUGAUUGGUAGUUAGCGAAAACACUAAAACGGUGCUGGAACAAUCAGUCCAACAAGACAGGGAGAGCAGUCAAAACUCAUUCAGUUUUGUACAAUGCAUUGUCUCUGUGAUCUUGCUGAUGCACAAGGACGUUAAAGUUAGGAAGAUAUUAUAACCAUUCAAGUCAGAGAUCGAUUUGAUUCUGCACAACGUCAUCACAUUGCAGGUGAUCAUUUGUAUUUUUUCCUACUCUCUUAUUGUUAUAUAUAUUGCAAAUUCAUGUUGCUGAUUGAGUAAAACAUAUUAUAAAAACCACAUAAGAGCAACUUUGGAUUGCAUCAAA